GAGAUGCAUGGUUAUGUACAUGGAUUUGGAUAAAAUAUUAUGGUUUCUCCUGCUCUUAUAGAUAUGUAUUCUGAGCGUGGUUUUGUGGGUUUGGGGCUUUGUGUCUUUAAGAAUAUGCCAAACAGAAAUAUACAUUCCUACAAAUUCAAUAAUCUUAGCUUAGGUCUUGGCUUCCACGUCCUUACUUCCCAAGCUUUUGAAAUGUUUUAGAUGCUAUAAAUCGGGUUUAAACCAUGUCAGGCUACUCUCUCUCUUUCUGCCUGUUGCCAUGUUGGCCUGGUUAAAGAUGGCUGGGAGAUUUUUAGGAGGAUGACAGGAUGAGUUUUGCUCCCAAGAUAGAAUUGAGCAUUAUUUUCACAUUGUAAAGCUUCUCCGGAUGGAGGGGGACGUGGAACAUAAUGUUAUUGUCCUUGAAGCAACCAGUGGAUUCUGGCAUGCAGGCAGCAUUGAUGUCAUGGUGUAAAUGCUAAUGGGAAUUCUGAGUUGGGAGAAAUUGUAACCCAGAAGCUUUUCAAUUAAGAGCUGAAUGUGGCGCUUACAGAUUUAUGCUUUUGAACAUUUAUGCUGGUGAUAAGAGGUUGGAUGGUGAGCCAUAUAUAACAAAUGCCGAAGGAAAAUGCCCGGUAUUAGUUGGGAUGGAUCUGAAAAGAUAAUACGUGUUACUGAGAAUUCCUUUUAAAAUCAGGUCCAGAUUCUCACUCCUGAUGUCUUUGUUUAUUUCCUCCAUCCAGCAAUCUAUGAUAAAGGGAGCAUCCUCAUAUGUGAGCAGCUAUGGAAGUGAAGCUACUGUAAUCUUGGUAGUUCUCCCUCCUCAAGCUAGGUCCAUUCCUCAAGAACAUGAAAAGCGAUGAUGAGAACCUCAAGCUUGGGAAAUCCACCAGCCUUGCAGAAGUCUUUCCCCAACUACCUUCCAUCAUAAUCAUACUACACUGUUAAAUUUUUCAAAUUAGGUAGGACCUGAAGAACUGAUGUUGGAUUCUCAGAUAAAUGUGAAUAACCUAGCCCUGGAUUUAUAAGACUAUUGAUUGAUCCAGGCCAGUUUGGUAUUUUUUUUCUAGAGGUCCUUCUAGCCAAAGUUUUCGAAGAAGAGGCGGUGGUGACAAUGAAUCCCAGAGGACAAGUUGCCCUUGGUCAAAAGUAUAUUUUGCUUCUAGAGACAAGGAAAGAAGACCCUGCAUCUCCAUUAUGGAAGCAUUUAGCUUCCUUGCAUUCUCUUCAGCAACAUCCAUCACUCCCAGCCUUCUGAGCUGCGUCAGCUUACCUAGUUCUCCUGCAAUGUCACCACCAGCAUGUACACCAGUGAGGGUGAGGAGACUUCCAAAUCUACUUAUUCCCUCUGCUAGCUUCAUCCCACAAAUUUUUUUUGUUCUUUAACAUUUAGAAGUGCCUCAGUCUUACAAGCUUUAGGAUCUCGAUUGAUAAUUCUGUCAAGUCCCCACACCUUCUGAUAUCCAAAGUCUCAUAGUGCUCACAAAUUACCAAGUUUGCCUGGAAGCUUGUUUAUGUCAUUGUUUUUUAAUCCAAGAAUGUCAGGUGAAUCAAGUCUCCUACUUCAACUGGUAGUCCCUUGAUCUUGGCAUCUUCUAUAUCUAGCACCUGCAAAAAUUUUGCCCCUUUGAAAUUCAGCCAGCCAUCUUCAGAAAGUUCCUGCUUCCCAAACAAAAAUAUAGACCAGGGUCAGAUAUUGUUUAAGCUAUGCGCACCUUUUGUCAUAUCUGGAGUUAAAAUACAGCUUGCUUUAUGUGGGAUGGAAAAAUCUGAAUUGGGAUGAGCUGUUAUGUAGAUAUCGCAAAGAAACACACGUUAAGGAGAGGAAACAGUGACUUUAGUUCCAUUCUCUUGGCGUUCAUCAUCUGCUUGAACCAUUCCCUGGCUCACCAGUUCAUAGAUAUUUUAUUCUGCAUGAAAUGGUGGAAUGCAAAACCUGAAGGAUGCAACCCUAACCACUAUCAUCAUGAAAGAGUAAUGGCAGAUACGUUACUCUCUCUUCUUCAUCUUCCCUUCUCUCCCAUCAUCAACAUGUCACACUCUCCAGCCUCAGCUUUUUAUUCAAGGUGGGUGCAUGAUAGACAAUCCUUUUGGUGUUUGGGUCUCUGCUUCUUCAAUGGCCUCUGUGCAACUCAUCUUUGAUUUUAAAAAAAAAAUGCUGUCACUUUUAUAGGCAAAAUCUAUGUGGGUUUUAGUGUAUUCGCCUAUUCUUUCUAUUUUUUAGUUGCUAGUGUUUCUUCUCUCUGAAAUGGUCUAAAAGGGAUUUUUCCUUUUUUGGGUUGUUUUUGUUGGAUUGCUUUUUUAUGGCCUCACGUUAUAACAAUGGACCAUACCAAUAUAUGGCUACAUUUUGGUUGUGGGUAAAAUCAAACUGAAAUGAAAUUGGAAUUACCCUCUUCAUCGGCAUCUAGAUUGAUUAAUUUUAUGCUUUGAAAUUCAUUAGUAAACAGAGAAGUCCAUGUUAAUCACAUUAUUUUACUGUCAAUAAAUUUAUCUUAAUUAUCUUUCUUUAUUGACUUGGUUGAACAUGCUAAUGUGUCUAUAUCUGACAGGAAGAACACUAAAUCUCCAAGCCGGUUUUCUUUUGGCCUCAGGUGUCAUGCUUGGAGGCAUGCCCUGUUAGAGGUAGUAGAGUUGUAUUUGCUAGUUACAGAGAUGGUUUAGGCCAGGCAAACUUCUUUUCUAUGAUGCUUUGAAGGCUAUCAGAAAUGUUGGGCUUCCAAGCAGCAAACUUGGAUCAGAUGUUUCACCUCCAUCUGAGCGUAUCUCUUCAAAUGGAAUUCAGGACGGGUGAUGAAUAAUUCAUGUCUGCUAAUGCAUGGUAGCUGACUUUUGUCUUUAGAUAAUCCAAAAUUACUUUAGAAUUCACGUUGUUAGAUUGAAAUUGAUGCUUAUAAUCUUUAUUCAGAACUGCUGAGAAAUUAAGCAAUGCAACUCCUGUUGGCAUUUGUGAUCAUACAGUCUUUAUCCAGUAUUGAAAGUUUGCAGUACACUUUUCUUGAGGCAACUGCACCUGCUCAUCACUCAGAAGCUGCAUGUGCGACCUUGCCUCCCACCUUUUCUGCUCUCCUAUCAGACUCUUGCAUGGAGGCAAAACAAGGUACAGGGAUUAAUAUGUUCAUGAACUUUGCUUCACCAUAUAAAACAUGUAUUAUUGAUAGAUUCUUCCUUAACUAUGAGCUACCUGUUUGCUUAUUGAAAGUCCCAAUGUUAAAAUGGCAAAACUACCAACAUUACCUAUAAAGCAUGACUUCCGAAUGCCGCCUUCAUCAAACUAUGGAUGCAUGCAAUACACAUAUCCUAAGGUAGCCACUCUUGCUCAUGACUCAGCGCUCAGCAGCCACACUUGCGCCCUUGCCUGCCAGUAUUUCCGCUCAUCUCUCAGGCUCUUGCACCAAGGCAAAACAAGAACCCGCGACAAUGCCCCUGCCAUGUGACCUCAGCUUCCAAAUAGGGGGUUGCAUGACAGGUUCUUCUUUCAAUGAUAUGUUGAGCAAACUUAAGAUGGUCACGUGGAACUGGGAGGAGACUUAUCAUAGUGAAUGCUACUGGUUUUGCCACAACAGAAAGUUUCGAGGUUAUUUAGCUGGGCAUUUUAUGUGAACAUCAAAAUCAGAUUAACUGUCAGACCUGCGUAGGAUUUUAUACAUGAUUUGAGCUCACUAAAGCAUGUAAGCAGUGUAUGAAACAGCAAUGGUGCUGAAAAUCUUCACUGCAUACGCUCAAGUAACGUAUACUGCACUCUCUUUGCUAUACUAGGAAUGUUGGAUUUGGCUUUUUGACCUGUUGAUUGUGGUAUGCUGGUCAUUCUGCCAUGAAACUGCUUGUUGAUGCUAAUUUCUGUGUUAUCUAUUUGCUGAAAGUCUUGCCUUU